AUGGAACCACAACGACACGUUUCUGCUGCAGUUUUUUUUGCUGGAACUAAGCCGAAAUUUUGCUACCGCAUCUUCUGUUUUGCUGGAACCAGUUUUUUUUCCUACCAGCCAAAUUUUUGCUGCUAUGUUUUGUUUUUGUUGGAACCCGUGUACCUCUUGCUACCAUUAUGUGGGGUUUUGCUGCUACUGGCGUCGAUUUGCUAUAUCCAUUUCAUGACGUCGUCGAGACCCGUGAACUAUGUGUUUUUUGCUGCAAUCGUUCUCAGUUUUGCUACUGCCGGUGUUGACGAUUGCUACAUCCUACCAUAG
rnacentral:rRNA from 1 species